rnacentral:rRNA from 1 species
GACGAACGCUGGCGGCGUGCUUAACACAUGCAAGUCGAACGAAGUGGCGAACGGGUGAGUAACGCGUAAUCAACCUGCUCUUCAGAGGGGGACAACAGUUGGAAACGACUGCUAAUACCGCAUACUGUAGGAGGGGAUUGCGUGUGAUAAGCUAGUUGGAGGGGUAACGGCCCACCAAGGCGAUGAUCGGUAGCCGGUCUGAGAGGAUGGACGGCCACAUUGGGACUUAGACAACGCCCAGACUCCUACGGGAGGCAGCAGUGGGGAAUCUUCCGCAAUGGACGAAAGUCUGACGGAGCAACGCCGCGUGAGUGAUGACGGCCUUCGGGUUGUAAAGCUCUGUUAAUCGGGACGCGGUACCGGAAUAGAAAGCCACGGCUAACUACGUGCCGGCAGCCGCGGUAAUAC